AUUUCUUCUUCUGGAUUUUGAGAUUCUUUUGCUUGAGCAAAAUGCAUUUACCAUAUUUUUUCACUUUAGAUGAGAUUUUUUUUUCUUGGAUUUCUGUGACACCCAGUGCUUUGUGGAUAAUAUCAUGUUCAUCAUUUUCUCUUUACAGCUACUAUGCUGCCGUAAUUUUCAUAAGGAAAGAGAUCUUGUUUCUCUUUGAGCUUACGAGUGAUUAGUGUAUAAUUUAUCACUUGCCUCUUUAUUGUUGGAUCCUAAGAAAUGCCUUAUCUAAAUCAUUGUUUCGAAUUAGUGACUGCUCAAUAUACGAAUUAGUGACUGCUCAAUAUACAAUUUCUGUACUUUCAUUUUGAAAUUCCAGUGGUUGCACAUUAUAUAUUCGGAUAAUUAUUUAGUAACUUUAGUUAAUGGUUUUAAUUACUUGAUGCAGUCAUGAAGUCAGUAUUCUUAGAACAUAUUUAUUAUCGUAUCACUUAGAAUGAAUGCAUUUCCAAUCAACCUUGCUCUUCUCGCUUAUUGUGUGAAUGAUUUCUUGCAUUAGGAGAAUCAUUAAGGAGCUUCUUGGGUGCUGAGACUUAGGCAUUGCUAUAAAUAAGGCAGUUUUCCAUUAAUGCUAACUGAUCAUCCACGUUUACAGGCACAUGCAUCGUUUGCUUGAAGUUGUAUGUUGCGCAUCAUCUGACAUUGCCUUAACCGGAGAUUUACCAACAACAGAGGAUUGAUUUUAAACUGAGAACAGUCUUAAUUUUUCAAAUUUUAACCUGUCAUAAUUUUCUUUCCAUGUGAAUGCCUUUACAGUUAUCCUAACCAUAUAAUUAACUAUAUUUGUGAAUGCUUGGAGGCCGUAAAAUUCCUUCUGCUCAUUUUUGUUCUUGACCUUUCUCAUGCAACUUGUAGGUGAACUCUCCCGUAGAUGCCUCCUUUUGUACGUUUUGAUCUUUUUUCCUUCCAAUUUAAUAUUGAAAUGGUUGGAGGCUUGAGAAUUAGAUGGUUUUAUCAUGCCUCUGAUUCUAUUUGGCACCAUUACCUAUUGUAUAAAUAGUUUUUUAGUAAUAGUGAUUUUUCUUCUCUUUAAUUCAUAGGGAAACUUGUGCUGCAGUUUUAGUUUCUUUCAUGUUUUGUAUAAGCUACAUCUUGCAAGUUUUGCAUGGGCUUAGGUGUAGGAGUUGAAUAUGAUUAAUUGGUCAAGAAUUUUUUGAUGGUUAAGAUUGCAGAAAUGUUUUAUUUAUUUAAAGGCAUUUUUAUGGUUGGGAUACAAAAUUUAAUUUUUCCAGUUAGUCAUUGUUGCUGUGCUAUUUAUUAAGAAGUUAUCCAUGAUGUAUUCUGUUAUAGUGCCUAAUUUUGACUUUCUUGCCACUUCCAGGAUACCUGAUUACUUCAAGUUAUGAGUAGCCUCUUUACUAUGGGUAAUGUGUGUUUAGGCCUUAAGGUCCAUUUGGAUGGCUAUACAUGGCAAUUGUCCUUUUUAUGUCCUUGCUUUAUUUUGAAGAUACCUUAUUUUGGGGUCCGUUGAUGGAAAACAUUAGAAACUUUCUGGAAGGAAAAAAAAAAAGGUUUCAAAUGAACUUUGCUCAAAAAACCUUUGGUCACCUCUUGGGAAACAAGGAAAUCCGUUUCAACUUAGAUAUAUGGAAUUCCUUAUUAUUCUGACAUUGCUCUGGAUUUGCAUAGAUCAGCGAGGGGGUUUCCUUGACAGGGGAAUGAUUUUAGGUGUAUCUGCUCUGCGUUAGAAUUUGCAUAUAUUAUGCUUUCUUGAAUCACCUUAUGUGGAGGAGGUGAACCAGUUAGUUGGUUGCACCUUUAUCUUUUCAUAUGAUUGUGUUACGGCUUUCCAAUGGCAAAAAAUGUUGUACUUCUUACUGCUAACAAAUCAAAGCUAUUGAAUCACAUCCUGUUGAUAUACCAUGGCAAAUGAAUUUUCCUUA